AUUGAACGCUGGCGGCAUGCCUUACACAUGCAAGUCGAACGGUAACAGGUCUUCGGAUGCUGACGAGUGGCGAACGGGUGAGUAAUACAUCGGAACGCGCCUAGUAGUGGGGGAUAACUACUCGAAAGAGUGGCUAAUACCGCAUGAGAUCUACGGAUGAAAGCAGGGGAUCGCAAGACCUUGUGCUACUAGAGCGGCCGAUGGCAGAUUAGGUAGUUGGUGGGAUAAAAGCUUACCAAGCCGACGAUCUGUAGCUGGUCUGAGAGGACGAUCAGCCACACUGGGACUUGGACACGGCCCAGACUCCUACGGGAGGCAGCAGUGGGGAAUUUUGGACAAUGGGCGCAAGCCUGAUCCAGCAAUGCCGCGUGCAGGAUGAAGGCCUUCGGGUUGUAAACUGCUUUUGUACGGAACGAAAAGCCUUGGGUUAAUACCCUGGGGUCAUGACGGUACCGUAAGAAUAAGCACCGGCUAACUACGUGCCAGCCGCCGCCGUAA
rnacentral:rRNA from 1 species